CAUCAAUAGAUAACAUGGGAAUUAUGGGAGCUACAAUUCAAAAUGAGAUUUGAGUGGGAACACAGUCAAACCACAUCAAUAGGUAACAUGGGAAUUAUGGGAGCUACAAUUCAAGAGGAGAUUUGGGUGGGGACACAGCCAAACCAUAUCAAUAAGGAACGCUAUUAAUUAAGUUAAAUGUAACUAGCUCCUUGUGGCUAGUGGCUACUGUAUUGGACAUCACAAUUUCAUACUAUAAGCCCAGGAUUAUUCUAGGUACUGGAAUGUGCCCAGCAAUAAGGUCUUUUGCUUUCUUGGAGGUUACAUUCCAGUGCCAAGGGAGAAAAAAAUUAAAUCCAUUAGAAGAAGCUCGGAUUGGGAUGAAUACUUUGAGGAUAAAGUGGUAUGGUUAGAUACAAAGAUAAUUUGGGGAAGGGGCUUAAUUAGAGUGGUCAAAAAGGACAUCUCUAUUUUUUUCUUCAGACAGGGUCUUGCUCUGUCACCCAGGCUGGAGUGCAGUGGUGCAAUCACAGCUCACUGCAGCCUCGAACUCCUGGACUCAAGCAAUCCUCCUGCCUUGGUCUCCCAAGUAGCUGGAACUACAGGUGUGAAGCCACCACAACCAGCUAAUUUUUGUAUUUUUUGUAGCGAUGGAGUGUUGCUAUGUUGCCCAGGCUGGUCUCAAACUCCUGGCCUCAAGUGAUCCUCCUGCCUCGGCCUCCUAAACUGCUGGAGUUACAGGUGUGAGUCAUCACGCCUGGAGAGAAUGGGCAUCACUCAAAGGGGCAGUUCCAUGGACAAUGAGUAAAGGGAGGAGGAGACUUCAGGAAGACAAGGGGGAAGAGAAUACCGGCACAAGGAAGACACAGAGACUUAGUCGGAAGCUGGUGGAAGCAGCUGAGCUGAGAAGAAUCAGACAUUCCCCCAACCUCUGCUGGGCUCAUAGGAACAAGGUCAAGGAACAAUCAGCCCCUCGACUUCACCUCUAUGGUAAGGGGAAGGGGAUCGGCAAAGAGCUAGUUCUGCUGUGAUGGACAGAAGUCAGAGGCUGGACACUGUUCCUAGUCCUAGCCACAGACUGAAGUCCUCUGUGGGUGUUUUUUAAUGUCUACCCUGUUAAGAUGGUGCCCAGAGUUCCAAACCCCCUCUUUCCCUCUCCUCUAUUCCGGGAAGAUGAUUUUCAUUGCCAAGGCAGAAUUCAGGAAGGGUCCACUAAUUUAGUGUCAUCCAUAAGCCACGUGCAUCGUAAGGACAGACAUUGCUAGAACCACCAGGGU
rnacentral:lncRNA from 1 species